rnacentral:rRNA from 1 species
AGUGAACGCUGGCGGUAGGCCUAACACAUGCAAGUCGAACGGCAGCACAGUAAGAGUUUGCUCUUACGGGUGGCGAGUGGCGGAUGGGUGAGGAAUACAUCGGAAUCUACUUUUUCGUGGGGGAUAACGUAGGGAAACUUACGCUAAUACCGCAUACGACCUACGGGUGAAAGCAGGGGAUCUUCGGACCUUGCGCGAUUGAUUGAGCCGAUGUCGGAUUAGCUAGUUGGCGGGGUAAAGGCCCACCAAGGCGACGAUCCGUAGCUGGUCUGAGAGGAUGAUCGGCCACACUGGAACUGAGACACGGUCCAGACUCCUACGGGAGGCAGCAGUGGGGAAUAUUGGACAAUGGGCGCAAGCCUGAUCCAGCCAUACCGCGUGGGUGAAGAAGGCCUUCGGGUUGUAAAGCCCUUUUGUUGGGAAAGAAAAGCAGCAGGUUAAUACCCCGCUGUUCUGACGGUACCCAAAGAAUAAGCACCGGCUAACUUCGUG